GGUAAAAUGGCUGAGAUAAGGUAAUAAAUUGUAAAUUUAUGUAGGAAGGUAAACUUCUUUUACCA
rnacentral:tRNA from 1 species